CUGGCGGCGUGCUUAACACAUGCAAGUCGAACGAGACGGGUAUUAGCUUGCUAAUACUGUCAGCUAAGUGGCGAACGGGUGAGUAAUAUAUAGGUAAUGUGCCUUGAAGAAGGGGAUAACAGUUGGAAACGACUGCUAAGACCCUAUAUGCCUUUAAAACAAAAGUUUGCAAGGGAAAUAUUUAUAGCUUCAAGAUCGGCCUGUACAGUAUCAGUUAGUUGGUGAGGUAAUGGCUCACCAAGACAAUGACGCUUAACUGGUUUGAGAGGAUGAUCAGUCACACUGGAACUGAGACACGGUCCAGACUCCUACGGGAGGCAGCAGUGGGGAAUAUUGCACAAUGGGGGAAACCCUGAUGCAGCAACGCCGCGUGGAGGAUGACACAUUUCGGUGCGUAAACUCCUUUUAUAUAGGAAGAUAAUGACGGUACUAUAUGAAUAAGCGCCGGCUAACUCCGUGCCAGCAGCCGCGGUAAUACGGAGGGCGCAAGCGUUACUCGGAAUCACUGGGCGUAAAGAGCGUGUAGGCGGAUAGAUAAGUUGGGAGUGAAAUCCUAUGGCUCAACCAUAGAACUGCUUCCAAACUGUCU
rnacentral:rRNA from 1 species